GGCUUGUCUCCAGCACAGACGGCGUCAGCGGCGUCGAGUCACGGAAGAGCUGAACGGGCUGUGUGUGCUGCUUGCGGCUGACUUCCAGGAGAAGGCUUUUAUCAACCUCACAGACAUCAUCGAAACCAAGUUAUUAAGCCAGAGGAGCAAAGAGCGGGGGAAAAGGGACACCAACAGUCACAAAAUCGGCGCCGUCAACACCAACAAGUUUGAUUUGGUUGCUAGUACUGUAUGCAAAGAAAACUAUUCUACAGAUGGGAGCUCUGAGUUUGGCUGCAAAAUUCUUGAAUCUAACAACAACAACAACAACAACAACAACAACA